rnacentral:rRNA from 1 species
GAUGAACGCUGGCGGCGUGCCUAAUACAUGCAAGUCGAGCGAACGGACGAGAAGCUUGCUUCUCUGAUGUUAGCGGCGGACGGGUGAGUAACACGUGGAUAACCUACCUAUAAGACUGGGAUAACUUCGGGAAACCGGAGCUAAUACCGGAUAAUAUUUUGAACCGCAUGGUUCAAAAGUGAAAGACGGUCUUGCUGUCACUUAUAGAUGGAUCCGCGCUGCAUUAGCUAGUUGGUAAGGUAACGGCUUACCAAGGCAACGAUGCAUAGCCGACCUGAGAGGGUAAUCGCCCACACGGGACCUGAGCCACGGUCCAGACUCCUAGGGGAGGCAGCAGUGGGAAUCUUCCGCAAUGGGCGAAAGCCUGACGGAGCAACGCCGCGUGAGUGAUGAAGGUCUUCGGAUCGUAAAACUCUGUUAUUAGGGAAGAACAUAUGUGUAAGUAACUGUGCACAUCCUGACGGUACCUAAUCAGAAAGCCACGGCUAACUACGUG